AUCUACAGCCGUAUGACCCUGAGCGCACCUGAUCUCAUCUGAUCUCAGAAGCUAGGCAGGGUUGGGCUUGGUCAGUACCGGAUGGGAGACAGGCUGGUCCUGGUUU
rnacentral:rRNA from 1 species